CGGGGGGGGGGGCAAGCGUUGUUCGGAAUUACUGGGCGUAAAGGGCGCGUAGGCGGUCCCGCAAGUCCUUCGUGGGAAUCCCACAGCUCAACUGUGGAAUUGCGAGGGAAACUGCAGGACUUGAGUCCGGGAGAGGAGAGUGGAAUUCCCAGUGUAGCGGUGAAAUGCGUAGAUAUUGGGAGGAACACCGGUGGCGAAGGCGGCUCUCUGGACCGGCACUGACGCUGAGGCGCGAAAGCUAGGGGAGCAAACGGGAUUAGAUACCCCGGUAGUCCUAGCCCUAAACGAUGAGCACUUGGUGUGGCGGGUAUCGACCCCUGCCGUGCCGAAGCUAACGCAUUAAGUGCUCCGCCUGGGGAGUACGGUCGCAAGGCUG
rnacentral:rRNA from 1 species